UAUAUUAAUUAUAUUAUAUUAUUUCAUGUUGUUUUUAGAACGUUCAGUGAGAUUAUGGGUAUCAGACAACUGCGAUGACAAAUCAUACUAUUUUAGUAGACAAUAAUACAUGGAAAAAUACGUACAUAUCAAGAGUUUGCCAAGCAAUGGCGACUUUUCCAAGGAAAAGUCUUACGAGAUUAUGAGAGAAUUGGAUGUCAACUAUGGUAAUUGAAGGUAAGCCGAGAGGUGAAGCGAUUCUCGACACCACAUCGAUUGCUGCUGAGUGGUAGUCCAAUGCAAAAUUCCCUGAAAGAAUUAUGCAGCAGCCGGUUUUGAGCUGUCUGACCUGAUAUGUUUAGUUCAAGAGUUUCGGGUAUUUUAUUUGCUGGCUGAAAAGGGUUAACUCUUAUUUGCUGAAUAAUUGCUUCAUCUUCAGCCGGAGUCAUGCAUCUUGAAUGCAUGUUGAAACAUUGUUGGUCUUGAAACAAAUCAGCUUUACCUAUUUCAUAUUUCUACACCUAUCUCCUGGCAGUUUUUACGCUGCACUAAACUUGUGUGACAAUUUAUUGUACUGUAUUUCUAGCGGCCUACAAAGAUAAAUUGUAUUUUUUAACAAAAAUAUGAAAAGAAAAAUGUAUAAAAUAAAAAAAAUUAAAAACAAA
rnacentral:lncRNA from 13 species